UCUCACCUUGUUGGUUGGCCGUUCUUUCAGGAAUUCUCUGUUGUACUCUCCAUUGCAGUGAUUUUCAUCUGCAAAAUAACGCAUGAAUAGUAUGGUACUAUAUAAGAAUGGACAGAUAGAUCACUAUGCUACUGUACGCAAACAUCAGACUAAAGAGAUCUCAACAUGAAUGACUAUUUUGCCUAAAUUUAUACUCACAGACUUGGAGUAAGAUGGAGGUAUGAAAUGAACAUAAGCUUUCAAAUGAGAUUAUUUGUAACAUAAAAACAAAUUGAUCCCACUUAAUAAAUUACCAAUA